rnacentral:rRNA from 1 species
AUUGAACGCUGGCGGCAUGCUUUACACAUGCCAGUCGAACGGUAACAGGCCUUCGGGUGCUGACGAGUGGCGAACGGGUGAGUAAUGCAUCGGAACGUACCCAGAGGUGGGGGAUAACGCAGCGAAAGCUGUGCUAAUACCGCAUGUGAUCUGAGGAUGAAAGCGGGGGACCGAGCAGCAAUGUUUGGCCUCGCGCCUUUGGAGCGGCCGAUGUCGGAUUAGCUAGUUGGUGGGGUAAAGGCCUACCAAGGCGACGAUCCGUAGCUGGUCUGAGAGGACGACCAGCGACACUGGGACUGAGACACGGCCCAGACUCCUGCGGGAGGCAGCAGUGGGGAAUUUUGGGCAAUGGGCGCAAGCCUGAUCCAGCAAUGCCGCGUGCGGGAAGAAGGCCUUCGGGUUGUAAACCGCUUUUGGCAGGAACGAAACGGUGUCCGCUAAUACCGGGCGCUAAUGACGGUACCUGCAGAAUAAGCACCGGCUAACUACGUG